UAUCAGAUUUACAAUUAUAUUUAUGUGGAUAUGUUAUACCCUUCUGUUAAUUCAUUCUAAUUUUCUCAGAUAAACUCACCUGAAAAAGACUAAGUCGAAACCGGUCAUGUGUUCUACAUGCUCUUCAGUUUCAACUGAUUGAUUCAACAAGUGAAAGCUUAUGGAUAGAGCAAACAUUGUUCAGUUAUAUAUUCAUUUUGAUGUAUGGAACAUUAACAUUACAUUGUAAAUUCUGUACUGAUUGUACUUCAUUCAAUCUAAGUUUAUAUUUUAUAUUUGUUUAUUGAUCGUUUGCUAGUGCAUAUUGUUGUAUUUGUGGGUAUAUAUUAGUUUGGUAUGUAACCAGGAACCCAUUUACUUAAACCGCCAUUCCACAUAGUUCACUACAAAGCUUGGUCUGGAUCUACUAUUCACCAGAGCCAUUAAAAAGAUCCAAAUCAAUCAAACAAACAAGAAAAAAAAGGCCCAACAGUUUUGUGAACAUUACUUUGAAGGUUUGGCACUUUAUGGGAAGCCUAUAUUGACCUUUUACUCCUGCCACGUGUGUGACUGAUUGUUUCCAGAAAGAAAGGGAAAUAAAUAAAUUAAGCCACAGCAUUAAGCCCUGGAGACGUGAAGCACGUUCCAAACAGUGGACUUGCUUUCAUAAGUGAGCUCAAUGAUUUCCAGAGCAUUAUAUACUCACUUAAAAAAUAAAACCAAAAGUGUUUGGGCCACCUCUACAGAAAUAAAGAUGAAAGGAAUCUUAGAGUGCUUCCAAAUGGAGCCUAUUGGUAUCAAUUUAAAAAAGUUUGAGCAGACAAUCCUAUGCUACCAUGGAGUCUAUCCACAUGACUAAGAAUCUUAAAAAUGCAGAGUUCAAAUAUUAUGGAGAUUCUUCAUAUGUAGCAGAAGCUUUCCUAUUCAGAGUUGUCAUUUUCCACACGAGAUAAAUGGAACUGGAGAUGAGGUAAAGGAAUCCUUCAAAUAUUU
rnacentral:lncRNA from 11 species